GAUGAACGCUGGCGGCGUGCCUAAUACAUGCAAGUCGAGCGAACAGACGAGGCUCUUGCUCCUCUGACGUUAGCGGCGGACGGGUGAGUAACACGUGGAUACCCUACCUUUAAGACUGGGAUAACUUCGGGAAACCGGAUCUAAUACCGGAUCAUAUAUUGAACCGCAUGGUUCAUUAGACAAAGCCGUUUUUGCUGUCACUAAUACAUAUAUCCUCGCCGCAUUAGCUAGUUGGUAAGGUAACGGCUUACCAAGGCAACGAUGCGUAGCCGACCUGAGAGGGUGAUCGGCCACACUGGAACUGAGACACGGUCCAGACUCCUACGGGAGGCAGCAGUAGGGAAUCUUCGGCAAUGGGCGAAAGCCUGACGCAGCAACGCCGCGUGAGUGAUGAAGGUUUUCGGAUCGUAAAACUCUGUUAUUAGGGAAGAACAAAUGUGUAAGUAAAUAUGCACGUCUUGACGGUACCUAAUCAGAAAGCCACGGCUAACUACGUG
rnacentral:rRNA from 1 species